UCCCCAACCUAAUAAAAACCCUUCAAACUCACUUUUGUGCGUCACCCCCUUCCCAGCCGCCUCCACUGCUUCCCUUCCCAGCCGCCUGUCGCCUCCCCUGCGUUCCCUUCCCAGCCGCCUCCCCAUUUCUUCCAUUUUCCCUUUUUCUUCUUCAACGACAAUUUCUCUCUUCACAUGUAUAGAGCAAACCAACGGAAUUAUUGGCUAGAUAGUCCGGCGCCUUCUCUAUUUCCAGUAUUGCGAUAGGUAUUGAGUGAAACCUUCAAGAUUAUAAUGUAAUAUUGGGAGGAGCCAUAGUUCGUCGAAAAGACAUUACAAAUAAAAAUUAGACGAAAAUCCUUUCAAAAGUUUAUAGAAAAGUAUUCAGGGUGCAUUUUAAUCCGUUGAAUGAAAGCAGAUCAAAGAUCAAUUUUGAUGCAAAGAGUGAAAUUACUUUAUCGUUGAAUGCAGAAGAUAAUCUGGUGGCAACAUCUUCAAUCUCCAUAUCAAAUACUUAGAGCUUAGUUUUAUUUUGAUGUGGAACCCUUCAAAAUUUGUAGAUUAGAGUUGAAUAACCGAGUGAACUUUAGAUAGAUAAUUGUAUAUUUUAGAAUUAAUUUUUGAAACUUUUUAAUGUAAAUUUGUAUAGUAAAGUGAUAUUCAAAAUUUAUUAUUGUGUGUUAUAUGGUUU